rnacentral:ncRNA from 1 species
UUGAGCUGUACGAGAUGAAAGUCUCAUAUACAGUUCUCGGAGGGGGGAUCGAAUCUUUGAUGAUUCCAU